rnacentral:rRNA from 1 species
AACGAACGCUGGCGGCAGGCUUAACACAUGCAAGUCGAGCGCGCGCCUUCGGGCGUGAGCGGCGGACGGGUGAGUAACGCGUGGGAACGUGCCUUCUUCUCCGGAAUAGCCCUGGGAAACCGGGAGUAAUGCCGGAUACGGCCUUUUGGCGAAAGAUUUAUCGGAGGAAGAUCGGCCCGCGUCGGAUUAGGUAGUUGGUGGGGUAACGGCCUACCAAGCCGACGAUCCGUAGCUGGUUUGAGAGGAUGACCAGCCACACUGGGACUGAGACACGGCCCAGACUCCUACGGGAGGCAGCAGUGGGGAAUCUUGGACAAUGGGGGCAACCCUGAUCCAGCCAUGCCGCGUGAGCGAUGAAGGCCUUAGGGUUGUAAAGCUCUUUCAGCGGGGAAGAUAAUGACGGUACCCGCAGAAGAAGCCCCGGCUAACUCCGUGCCAGCAGCCGCCGUAAAAC